rnacentral:rRNA from 1 species
UACGGGGGGGGCAAGCGUCGUUCGGAAUUACUGGGCGUAAAGGGCUCGUAGGCGGCCAACUAAGUCAGACGUGAAAUCCCUCGGCUUAACCGGGGAACUGCGUCUGAUACUGGAUGGCUUGAGUUUGGGGAGAGGGAUGCGGAAUUCCAGGUGUAGCGGUGAAAUGCGUAGAUAUCUGGAGGAACACCGGUGGCGAAGGCGGCAUCCUGGACCAACACUGACGCUGAUGAGCGAAAGCCAGGGGAGCAAACGGG